ACAGUUGUGGGAAAAUCUUCGCCCACUGGACCAAAGAAUGUCAAGAGCUCAUUGCUGGAAAGCAUACUCCGGUCUUCAGUCUAAAGAGGAAGGCAGAGCAGCAGGACAUAGAGGUUAGAAAAUUGCCUUGUAAAAACAGUAUUAUCUCAGUGGGAGUCCUUCAAAAUGCACACAGUUGUAUGGAUCAACAUUGUCUCGAUGUAUUUGGUAAUUGAUGUUACUUUUCAAAUUGCCUUGUCAAGGAAACCAUGACGCAGACGGUAUCGGAUGUCCAAAGAAUGUGCAUGGCAGAUUCAAUGCAAUUCUGUGUCUACCAGACAUCGAACAACACAGGAGAGGGGUGUGUUGCAGACUCAAUUUAAUAAAUGCAAUUAUCGGGGCCUAUUCAGUGAUUUUCCAUGAAGUGACCACUUUUACAUAUAGUUUAAAUGCACGAAUCAUGCAGGAAAAUUAUUUAUACAUUCAAAUGUGCUGCAGAGGUAUAAUCAAUUGGACAGCGUGUUUGUUUGAUAUUAUGUUUGUCUCUCAUUUGAUCAGAUUGCUUUACCCUGAGGUAAACGUCAUAAAAUGGGUCCAGUGCAAGACGUGCAGGGGCUGGCUGCAUCAGGAUUGUGCUGGGAUUGAAAUGGAGCCGUUUGACUGCGGGUGCGAGG